UCCAGCGAAUUCGGUAGAGAUACCUUAGUGCCUUCGGGAACGCUGAGACAGGUGCUGCAUGGCUGUCGUCAGCUCGUGUUGUGAAAUGUUGGGUUAAGUCCCGCAACGAGCGCAACCCUUAUCCUUUGUUGCCAGCGGUCCGGCCGGGAACUCAAAGGAGACUGCCAGUGAUAAACUGGAGGAAGGUGGGGAUGACGUCAAGUCAUCAUGGCCCUUACGAGUAGGGCUACACACGUGCUACAAUGGCGCAUACAAAGAGAAGCGACCUCGCGAGAGCAAGCGGACCUCAUAAAGUGCGUCGUAGUCCGGAUUGGAGUCUGCAACUCGACUCCAUGAAGUCGGAAUCGCUAGUAAUCGUAGAUCAGAAUGCUACGGUGAAUACGUUCCCGGGCCUUGUACACACCGCCCGUCACACCAUGGGAGUGGGUUGCAAAAGAAGUAGGUAGCUUAACCUUCGGGAGGGCGCUUACCACUUUGUGAUUCAUGACUGGGGUGAAGUCGUAACAAGGUAGGCGUAGCGAG
rnacentral:rRNA from 1 species